GAGAAAUUAGCACACAGACACCCCCCAAAAAAAUUAAAUGACAGUAGUGUGAUUGAAAUAUAGAUUUUAAACUAAGUAAAACAUAGAUUUUGAACAAAAUAUUACCAAAAACCAAGGAUUUUGAACUAAAUAAGACCAAAAAUCUCAAAAUCUCAUAGGGUCUUCAACCCCUUACCCCCAUUACCAGCUUUCGCCCCAUUAUCCUCACAGCUCGUUUGGCGGUGCUAUGCACCCCAUUUCUCAUCUCUCCCUAAAUUUUCUGCAUCCAUCACUGUUCUCAUGUACAUCAUAAUUAUAAGAACACAAUAAAAUAUUUAUUACGAUAUUUUAAAAUAUUGCUCUAUAUGUAUUUCCUUUGAUAUUUCAGGGAUUACAAUAAGGAACACAAUCAAAAAACUGAACCAAAGUUCAUUGUAUUCUUCUCUCAGCUCCUGGCCCUUUUUCAAAUUUGUCAUUUGUGCAAAUGUGAAAAAUAGGUACGCAGUGUGUACAUGUUGCAUGCCAUCUGAAACUUAUCAUACGCUAUAGCGCUUACAUAAACCUUUGGUACAACUGGC